AGGAUGAACGCUGGCGGCGUGCUUAACACAUGCAAGUCGAACGAAGCUACUUUAAUCGUAUUUCGUUCGGAUUAGUAAAUUUUAGUGACUGAGUGGCGGACGGGUGAGUAACGCGUGGGUAACCUGCCUCACACAGGGGGAUAACAGUUGGAAACGGCUGCUAAUACCGCAUAAGCGCACAGUACCGCAUGGUACAGUGUAGAAAAACUCCGGUGGUGUAAGAUGGACCCGCGUCUGAUUAGCUAGUUGGCAGGGCAACGGCCUACCAAGGCGACGAUCAGUAGCCGACCUGAGAGGGUGACCGGCCACAUUGGGACUGAGACACGGCCCAAACUCCUACGGGAGGCAGCAGGUGGGGAAUAUUGCACAAGUGGGGGAAACCCUGAUGCAGCGACGCCGCGUGAGCGAAGAAGUAUUUCGGUAUGUAAAGCUCUAUCAGCAGGGAAGAAAAAUGACGGUACCUGACUAAGAAGCCCCGGCUAACUACGUG
rnacentral:rRNA from 1 species